rnacentral:rRNA from 1 species
CCUACGGGUGGCUGCAGUCGAGAAUCAUUCACAAUGGGGGAAACCCUGAUGGUGCGACGCCGCGUGGGGGAAUGAAGGUCUUCGGAUUGUAAACCCCUGUCAUGUGGGAGCAAAUUACAAUGAUAGUACCACAAGAGGAAGAGACGGCUAACUCUGUGCCAGCAGCCGCGGUAAUACAGAGGUCUCAAGCGUUGUUCGGAAUCACUGGGCGUAAAGCGUGCGUAGGCUGUUUCGUAAGUCGUGUGUGAAAGGCGCGGGCUCAACCCGCGGACGGCACAUGAUACUGCGAGACUAGAGUAAGGGAGGGGGAACCGGAAUUCUCGGUGUAGCAGUGAAAUGCGUAGAGAUCGAGAGGAACACUCGUGGCGAAGGCGGGUUCCUGGACAUUAACUGACGCUGAGGCACGAAGGCCAGGGGAGCGAAAGUGAUUAGAUACCCCUGUAGUC